rnacentral:rRNA from 1 species
UUAAUAGAAAAAUUUUUAUUUAAUUUUGUCAUAGUAUAUUUUGUAGAAUAGAUUUUUAUUAUUAUAGUUUAUUAGUAAUGUAAAUGGAUUAUGUAAUACUUAUUAAAUUAAUUAAAGUAGAUUUUAUUUAUUGUACCUUUUGUAUCAGGGUUUAUUAAAAUUUUAGUAUUUAUUUAUUAUUCUCGAUUUAGGUUGAUUUAAAAAUAAAUUAAAGUUAAUGUGUCAUAAUUAUUAUUAAUUUAUUUUUAGAAAUGAAAUGUUAUUCGUUUCCUAAUAUAUCUAGUUUCUUAAGAAAAAUUUUAAUUUUUUAUAUUUAAUGUUUUAUUUAAUUUUUUAAUUAAAAGUAUUAAAUUAUUUAUUCUUUAGGGGAUAAGCUCUAAAGUGUAUAUCCUAUAAUUUAUAUAAUUUUAAUAUAAUAAUAAGCUUUAAAUCAGCUAUUUUUAAGAUUACGUUUUAGUUCAUUAUUAUAAAAUUUGAUUUUAUAAUUAUUUUAGGGUUUGUAUUAAGAUGAUGAAUUUAAUAUUAAAAUUCUUGUAAUAAUGAUGAGAUUAGUAUAUUUAUUUUGUUUAUAAUAUUUUUAUUUAUAAAUUUAUUAUAAGGAAUUAGGCAAAAUUAAUUUCCGCCUGUUUAUCAAAAACAUGUCCUCUUGAUGAUAUUUUGAGGUCUAGCCUGCUCACUGAUAUUUUAAAGAGCCGCGGUAUUUUGACCGUGCAAAGGUAGCAUAAUCAUUAGUCUUUUAAUUAGAGGCUGGAAUGAAUGGCUUGACGAGAAAUUAACUGUCUCUUAAUAAUUUUUAGAAUUUAACUUUUAAGUCAAAAGGCUUAAAUAUUUCUUUAGGACGAGAAGACCCUAUAGAGCUUAACAUUUAAUUUAUAUAUAUUUUUAGGUUAGUUUUUUUAUAUUUAAUGAUAAUGUUUUGUUGGGGUGACAUGAAGAAUUAAUAAACUCUUCAUUAUUAAAUCAUUAAUUUAUGUUAUUUUUGAUCCAUAAUUUAUGAUCAUAAGAUUAAGUUACCUUAGGGAUAACAGCGUAAUUGUUUUUGAGAGCUCAUAUCGACAAAGCAGAUUGCGACCUCGAUGUUGGAUUAAGAAAAAUUCUUGGUGCAGUAACUAAGUAAUUAGGUCUGUUCGACCUUUAAAUUCUUACAUGAUCUGAGUUCAGACCGGCGUGAGCCAGGUCGGUUUCUAUCCUAAGAAUAUUAAUUUAUAUUAGUACGAAAGGACCAUGUGAAUGAAAUAUUUUUUAUUAAAUUGAUUAAGAUUAAU